AUGAAGACCAUUUCCCUUAAUUAUUGUUAUUGGCUUGUCUUGUUGUCGUCAUUUUCCGUCAGAAUCUUGCAGUGGGGAAUUUUUGUAAGAACAACAAUGACUGCAAAAAGUUAUGUGGAGGCUAUUGCAACAAUAUUCGUGAAAGUUGUGUGUGUCAUAAUUUAAACAAUAUAAAUGCAAUAAACCUUGGUUCUUCUAACGAUCCUUGUAUCCCAGAACAUCCCGGUUGUCGUGGAGGUCCUCCACCAAACAGUUGAAAGUGUAAUGAUAAAACUAUUGUAUUUUGAUCCC